rnacentral:rRNA from 1 species
UAACAGGAUUCCCCUAGUAACUGCGAGUGAAGCGGGAAGAGCUCAAAUUUAAAAUCUGGCGGUCUUCCGGCCGUCCGAGUUGUAGUCUGGAGAAGUGUUUUCCGCGUCGGACCGUGUACAAGUCUCCUGGAACGGAGUGUCAGAGAGGGUGAGAAUCCCGUCCAUGACACGGACUCCCGAUGCUAUGUGAUACGCUUUCAAAGAGUCGAGUUGUUUGGGAAUGCAGCUCAAAAUGGGUGGUAAAUUCCAUCUAAAGCUAAAUAUUGGCGAGAGACCGAUAGCGAACAAGUACCGUGAGGGAAAGAUGAAAAGCACUUUGGAAAGAGAGUUAAACAGUACGUGAAAUUGUUGAAAGGGAAACGCUUGAAGUCAGUCGCGUCCCUCGGAACUCAGCCUUGCUUUGGCUUGGUGUACUUUCCGUGUGGAUGGGUCAACGUCAGUUUCUGCCGGUGGAGAAAGGGAAGGGGAAUGUGGCGCCGCCUCGGUGGCGUGUUAUAGCCCUUUUCCUGAUGCAUUGGUGGGGACUGAGGACCGCAGCGCGCCUUUUUGGCCGGGGGUUCGCCCCACGUAUCGCGCUUAGGAUGUUGGCAUAAUGGCUUUAAGCGACCCGUCUUGAAACACGGACCAAGGAGUCUAACAUGCUUGCGAGUGUUCGGGUGGAAAACCCUUGCGCGUAAUGAAAGUGAAAGUUGGGAACCUCGGUGCACCGACGCCCGGCCCUGACGUUUUCUGAAGGUGCUGCGGUAGAGCAAGUAUGCUGGGACCCGAAAGAUGGUGAACUAUGCCUGAAUAGGGCGAAGCCAGAGGAAACUCUGGUGGAGGCUCGUAGCGAUUCUGACGUGCAAAUCGAUCGUCAAAUUUGGG